GCGCCUAUGGCGGAAUUGGUAGACGCGCUACCUUGAGGUGGUAGUCUCGAAAGAGGUAGAGGUUCGAGUCCUCUUAGGCGCACCA
rnacentral:tRNA from 1 species